rnacentral:rRNA from 1 species
GUAAUGUCGUGGGGAGAGGCUCGGGUUAUACGUAGGGUGGGACGGUUGGCUGGAAGUAUGGGGCGUAGUGGGGGCGCAGUCGGCCGCUUAAGGCUGAUUGGAGAGACGCCGGCUCAACCUGGGAGGGCCAUUGGAAACUGGGAGGCUUGAGUAUAUGAGAGAAGAGUGGAAUGCCACGUUUAGCGGUGAAAUGCGGAGAGAUGUGGAUGAACACCAGUGGCGAAGUCGACUCUUUGGCCUAUAACUGACGCUGAGGCGCGAAAGCGUGGGGAGCAAACAGGAUUAGAUACCCCAGUAGUC